GACCCUGUCUCCAGUGGGCGUCUUGGGCCCCGGCUCUAUUCUGGGCUGCGGGCCUGGGAAGGGCUCGCCGGGUGCCAAAUGAGCUGUCCUAACUCUGCGGGGCUGCAGCUUCCUGCAUGAUGCUGGGGAGCUUGGCGCCUGACCCAGGAUCUAGAAGGCACUCUGGGCAGGCCGCGCUCCGCCCACGAAGGUUUAACCACCAAGGACUCUGAGAGCUGGCAGGUCUGAGUAACCCUGGUAACAAUUCUCUUCACCUUAUCAAAACCUGAGCUAAAACCAAUGCAUCAGCUGAUGAUGACAGCAGAGAGUGGCAGGGCUGAGGACCCAAAGUCAUUUCCCAGGCUGGCGGAGAGUUUUUUUCUCAGUCAACUGAAUUCUUUUUCUCCACUUUGUUUUGCCACUCUUAAUGCAUGCAUGAGAGGCCCUAAGAUAAUUUCUGAUGGCCUGGGACUCCUUGGGAAAAAAAUGAAAAGGCACCACAGGUUCCAUUUUGGGAGAAACCUCCAUUUUCCUCAUGAAACCGCAGGAAUUAGAGGCAGAUAAACUGCCAGGGAGAAGAAUGAGAAGACAGGAGACAAACUGUUUGGAAAGCUAAAUCUUCCCUCUUAAUGAAUAAAGGUUUUUGCCUUGUCUUAAA
ensembl:lncRNA TP53TG1 TP53 target 1